ACUGCAUUUCAUCACUGAAUGAUGAUCAGGCUGCUUUGCUUGAAAGAAAUUAUACAACAGCAGAUGUGUCUAUUGCUUUUCCCCUGCAUGUUUCCUGGAUGUUUGCUCAGCUGCGUUGAAGGUUAAAAAGUGACAUUGAUUGGAAAGCAGAGAAAUGACUCAUGUUGAGAUGGAUUAAGCGGAUUGGUUCCAGGACAGAGAUGUACAGCUGCUCUUAGACAGACCAUUUCAUAACACACAACAUCAGAAAUGAGUUUGGUAAUGGCCCCAUUCAGCAUUAAUUACGCCAUCUAGCCGCUGGCUUCACCCCACCAUCACCCUGAAAUGCUCCACUGCACCAUCAAACAGCAGAAGGGACUACUUUUCCAGGUGGAAACACUAAGUGAUCAAUAAAACAAAUGUAAAAAUCCCACCGGCACAUAUACAGAAGGAGUGACUGGAGCCACAUCCACAGAUCAGAAGAUCACCAAGACUUGCAUCUUGGACUGGUUAGCAACCACGUAGAAAUGAACUAGAAAGCAGCACCCAGAACACUUUAACAUGACAGCAACAGGUUGCAUGAAUCACCACUCACAUUUUUUUAGAAAAAUGUAAAAAUGAAGUGUUCUGCAGUAACUGAUGUCAGGGUUUUGAGUGUUGGUGAUAUUUUUAGUCUGUAAUCUAAGUGCAUAGGGCCCACAUCAGCAGGGAUCCCACACCAAUUUCAUGAAUUUAAUUGGUUGGUAGAGCAAAUGCAAAUAGCUUGAGUGCGAUUCCUCUAGAGGUUGUAAAAGAUGCAGUUUAAGAUGGCUUUAAAAGCUGAUUUGCUUCUUUAGCGGUGUGGCGGAUGACAGACUGUCCUCCCAUGAACAGCCUUGUUAUCAUACUGCGUUCUAAUGAGGCAGCGUCGUUGUUUGCUGUCUUGUUUCCAAGAUGACGUCUUGCUGAUAAAAGUGAUUCAGAAACAAACGCAGGUACGAGAGGGCAGAUUGUUGUUUUUGUAAAGUAUUUCAUAAUUGAUGGGCUGCUUUGAUUUGAUUUGUAGCCUGAUGGAUUUAUCUGAAGUAAUUGUGGUCAUUAGGGAGAAAGCAAGUUUAAAAGCAGCGGACGGUCGACUGGUGGAGUGCUUUGAUAUUUUAUGUAAGAGAAAUAAAUGAAUAUAAACACACACACACACAGACACAUUCCCACAGGUGGCUUAACUGUGAGUUGUGGGGCUGUAAGCGCCGUCCAGAGUUUAGUAAUUAAGUCUGAGUUCAUUACGAGACAGCAAAGAGAACGCUGCAGUGAGAAAUGAAAAUGAAGUGGACGGACUGGAAAGGGCUUUAGGUGAGCUGUUAGAUGCAAACCCUCUAAUGACAGAUUCGUGACACUCAAAGAUACUUCAUUAAAGACUCCCAUGGGAAUAUAAAAAACACAAAGAAUUUCUCAGUUGUUUCUCUUAAACAUCUGCUUCAGUCUCCUGCUUCCAGCU